rnacentral:rRNA from 1 species
CCCCUUUUGCGGGUCGAAGCGGAGAAUUUAAGCCCCAGUAAACGGCGGUGGUAACUAUAACCAUCCUAAGGUAGCGAAAUUCCUUGUCGGGUAAGUUCCGACCUGCACGAAUGGCGUAACGACUUCCCUGCUGUCUCAACCACAGACCCGGCGAAAUUGCAGUACGAGUAAAGAUGCUCGUUACGCGCGGCAGGACGAAAAGACCCCGGGACCUUCACUAUAGCUUGGUAUUGGUGUUCGGUUCGGUUUGUGUAGGAUAGGUGGGAGACUGUGAUGCCUCAACGCCAGUUGGGGUGGAGUCGUUGUUGAAAUACCACUCUGAUCGUAUUGGACAUCUCAACCUCGGCCCGUGAUCCGGGUUAGGGACAGUGCCUGGUGGGUAGUUUAACUGGGGCGGUUGCCUCCCAAAGAGUAACGGAGGCGCCCAAAGGUUCCCUCAGCCUGGUUGGCAAUCAGGUGUUGAGUGUAAGUGCACAAGGGAGCUUGACUGUGAGACUGACAGGUCGAGCAGGUAGGAAACUAGGGACUAGUGAUCCGGCACCGGCUUGUGGAAGCGGUGUCGCUCAACGGAUAAAAGGUACCCCGGGGAUAACAGGCUGAUCUUCCCCAAGAGUCCAUAUCGACGGGAUGGUUUGGCACCUCGAUGUCGGCUCGUCGCAUCCUGGGGCUGGAGUAGGUCCCAAGGGUUGGGCUGUUCGCCCAUUAAAGCGGCACGCGAGCUGGGUUUAGAACGUCGUGAGACAGUUCGGUCUCUAUCCGCCGCGCGCGUAGAAACUUGAGGAAGGCUGUCCCUAGUACGAGAGGACCGGGAUGGACGUACCUCUGGUGUGCCAGUUGUCCCGCCUGGGGCAUGGCUGGUUGGCUACGUACGGAAGGGAUAACCGCUGAAAGCAUCUAAGCGGGAAGCCUGUUCCAAGAUUAGGUUUCUUUUGAGGUCCCCUAUAGAUGAUGGGGUUGAUAGGCCGGAUCUGGAAGCAUCGUAAGGUGUGGAGGUGACCGGUACUAAUAGACCAAACAUUCAACACACAAA